rnacentral:rRNA from 1 species
UAGGGAAUCUUCGGCAAUGGACGAAAGUCUGACCGAGCAACGCCGCGUGAGUGAAGAAGGUUUUCGGAUCGUAAAACUCUGUUGGUAGAGAAGAACGUUGGCGAGAGUGGAAAGCUCAUCAAGUGACGGUAACUACCCAGAAAGGGACGGCUAACUACGUGCCAG